CGCACCUUGCGCCCUUUUUCGGAAGGGCACGCCUGUUUGAGUGUCAUGUUCAUCUCAAUCACUUAGUUUUUUUUAAACUAUUGGGAUUGGAUUUGGGGGCUGCUGGCUUUGUUCAGAGGUCGGCUCUCCUUGAAUGCAUUAGUGGGCAUCUGGCUCGCGUUGCUGGUGUGAUAGUCUCCUUCAUCAUCGGCGGCGCUUGUCUAAUGGGUCUGCUUUCGAACCGUCUUCUCAACGGAGACAAUACUUGACAUGUUUGACCUCAAAUCAGGUGGGACUACCCGCUGAACUUAA
rnacentral:misc_RNA from 1 species